GGCGAACGGGUGAGUAACACGUGAGCAACCUACCUCCAACUUCGGGAUAAGCUCGGGAAACCGGGUCUAAUACCGGAUAUCACCUCCGUUCUCAUGGGUGGGGGUUGAAAGUUCUGGCGGUUGGGGAUGGGCUCGCGGCCUAUCAGCUUGUUGGUGGGGUAAUGGCCUACCAAGGCGUCGACGGGUAGCCGGCCUGAGAGGGCGACCGGCCACACUGGGACUGAGACACGGCCCAGACUCCUACGGGAGGCAGCAGUGGGGAAUAUUGCGCAAUGGGCGAAAGCCUGACGCAGCAACGCCGCGUGAGGGAUGACGGCCUUCGGGUUGUAAACCUCUUUCAGCAGGGACGAAGCGAGAGUGACGGUACCUGCAGAAGAAGGACCGGCCAACUACGUGCCAGCAGCCGCGGUAAUACGUAGGGUCCGAGCGUUGUCCGGAAUUAUUGGGCGUAAAGGGCUCGUAGGCGGUUCGUCACGUCGGGAGUGAAAACUCGGAGCUCAACUCCGAGCCUGCUUCCGAUACGGGCAGACUAGAGGUAGGCAGGGGAGAGCGGAACUCCUGGUGUAGCGGUGGAAUGCGCAGAUAUCAGGAAGAACACCGGUGGCGAAGGCGGCUCUCUGGGCCUUACCUGACGCUGAGGA
rnacentral:rRNA from 1 species